AGGAAGCAGAGCAGGGGACAGAGGUAGUGUGGCAAGUGAUAGGGGCUUUGCUGCAAGGGACGAGCCUGGAGCAAUAAGAAGCGGGACAUUUGCUAAUGAAGGGCGUGAUGUGGGUAUGGAACGUAGCGUAGGCAAGAGGGGAGGUGCAUGUGCUGGCGAGGGGGUAUUUGGUCAAGUGAGCACCUGGCUAAGGAGGUGUUGGGGAGGGGGGAGUGGUAGUGGUGGUACUUGUGCAGAUGAGGGGAUGGAGCUUUGCUAAUGAGGAAACGGUCCUAGGGGGAUAAAGGGCGGGUCAGAUGCAAAUGAAGGACCUAGCUUUUGCAGUUUUUGAACCAAGUAGGUGCAGAUAAGGGGUGGGGCACAUGCUGGUGAGCAGUACGGACAAAACGCUGCCCAUUAGCACAUGAGGGGGCGGAGCAUGGUGCCUGACUGUCUGGAGCGAGGUGGUGUGAACCCUGAAAUGAAACUGUGAUCCUGGCCCUCUCAAAUGAAACUGUGAUCCUGCUUCGCCCACCGUUAGUACUAGGGUGACAGGUGAAAAAAGUCUAGAGGGGUACCCAUCCGGUGUCUGAACCUCUUGGGGUGGUGGCUUCAAAGAUACUACACUGGAUGGUAGCCAGGUCCCUAACACUAUGAUGUUACCAUUAGGAGAUAUGUCUCCUCACAGAUAUCCCGUGGCACACCCUGGACAGCUCAGAGCUCCAGCAGGGGCACGUGGUGUCUUCUCUUCUCGUUCGUCGGCUCAUUUUGAGUUUAGAAAGAAGACAGUGGUGUGUCUUAGGGUUUGCAAAGUCCCCACAGGCUCUUCUCAGAACCAGGAGACCUAAAGAAAUCAGUGGGCUAGGUCCACUCUUGUGAAUUGGAAGGGACAUUAGGGAUUCCUUACACCUAGGAAGUGUUUGGAUGGGACUAGGAAAAUGUCAGGACACUUCAGACCUCAGGUUCUUAAGCCUUGCUUCUUGCUUUCACUCCUUCUUGCCCAUUGGCCCAUACAUGCAAAGCUUUCCUUAAGCUACUCUUGUAAAGACUGAAUGCUAAUAGAUAGGUAGAACCUGUUUAAACAUGUAGAGGCUCCAGCUUAAACAUGGAAGGUGAUACACUGUGUUCAAAAGCCACAGGCCACCUGCCCAGAAUUCCCAUAGUGCAGCCCAGACUGCAGCUAAAGUCCCUUCUUGUUGAUGAACCCAAAUGAACCUCGACACAGGUGAGAAUAGGAAGCUGCAGGUGCCUACAAACACACUGUAUUCCUUUCUUCUAAGGAGGAUUGGAGUGAUGCAUCUUAAUGAGGCUUCACAUUGACUCUAUGAUCUUGAGGGAGACAGCUUGGUAUUAUUAACCCUGUUGUGAAUGCUCAGGAAUCAGAGGCUCUGGGGUAUUAUAGUGUUUCCCCCUCUCUAAGGAAUAGAUACUAUAUAAAUCCAGUAAUUACCACUUACUAGUAUGUUCCCACAGGACACAACCUCAUUGAGGAUAACCUAGAUACACACACAGUCAGAAUUUAUAAAUAAAUACUUACCCUGAGUAGCAUUUGACCUAAUAUUAAGACUUGAGUGUAAGCUAGACUAUUAUUAAUAAAACAAUUGCAGUGUAGAAAUGAAAACCAUGAACUACAAUUUUCUAUAUUAUAAAAUGCAGGUUCCACAUCACAGUGAAAAUCAUUUUAGCAAGGUUAGCAAGGAAGUUAUUUUUAGCAAUAUAGGUUGUAACCUAGGGGAAUCAUCAAGUGAGUUUUGGAGGUUCUAGAGGUUUGUUUGUGAUGCCACCAGAAGGUAUGGGAAUCCUGGUCAUAAAUAUAUCACUGGGAGAAAAGGCUUUUGACAGGUAGUCAGUCCCCAAAAGAAGGCAUUAGGAGUAGACUCUACUCCUUUAUGGUGUGUCUGUGUGUUAUACACACACACACACACACACACAGGCACACACACACACACACACACACACACACACACACACACACACACGCAGACACUCACAAGAAAACAAUGUGAAAAUAAAGACAAAAAUUAGAGUGAUGCUUCUUUAAGCCAGGGAAUGUCAAGAAUUUUCAGCAAGCCACCAGAAGCUAGGAGACACAAGGAUUCUGGCAUAGCCCCAGAAGUAACCCACUGCAGACACUUUGGCUUGAGACGCACUCUUUGUGGGGCAUUUGGUGGUUAGAGAUCAUCAUCUGGGGUAUCCAUAGUCUCUCUGCAAGAGGAUGGGUGGCUUACUGGAGAUGUAGGGCCAUUGUAGAGGGUUCUCAUUACACCUUGGGUCUGGCCUGAACUUGGAGAGGAAAGCCAAAAUAUUGACUAUCCUUUUGCUUGCUCAUCUCUUUUGGAUUUGUCUUGUAAGCUUUUGUUGGUGAACACACAGAGGUUUUAUCAGUUUACAAAAGGAGUAAUGGAUUUUUAGUUUAACUUUUGGGGGUAACAUUUAAGUAGAGUUUAAAUAAAAGCCAACCGAAUUUUGAAUAAAUCCCAAUUUUAGUAAGACUCAGUUUCUUGUUUUGUUUUGUUUUGUUUUGUUUUGUUUUUUUUGAGACGGAAUUUCUCUGUGUAGUCUUAACUGCCCUGAAACUCCUUCUAGACCAGGCUGGCUUCAAACUUGGAGACAUGCCUCUGCCUCCUGAGGCCUGGGAUUAAAGGCAUGUGCCACUGAUGCCUGGCUAAGACUUUUAAGUAGAUAAAAUUUUAACAAAUCUAGAAGAAAACAUAUAUACUUACCUUGAAAAAAAAUAUCUGAAAUCUUUGUUCUUUGGGUCUGUUCUUGCAAAUACUACCAUGAGCAGAUAAAUACCUUCAGCAAACUUUAUUGUUUUUCACAAAAGGCAGAUUUUAGUUUUAUGUCAGUGACCUGGAUUUUGACCUGAAGAAUUUUAAUAAUGUUUACUCCCAACACAUGGAACAUCUUUGAGUUUUAUCUUUUGCAAACCUUUUGUGACCUUUUGAAAUGUGCUUAAGCUUUCUGGUUUUGCACUCCUCUUUUUCAUCUUGAAAAAUCCAGCAAUUUCAUCUCAGGCCAAAACUUAUUUUAUUAUAUAAAAUUGUUUCUUACCUGAAAUGCACUUUCUUUCCUUUUAAACCUUCCUUACCAAAACUGUGUCCUCAUAUUUACAUGUUUAUGACACACACCCUGUGCUCACUGGUUUCCUUUGGUUCUGUAAUUUCAUGAGACUGAAUGACAUAACAAAGAAAUGUGCAGUGUUGGUGACAACAUUGAGUUCACCUUCCAGUUUUGUUUUCUGUCUGUUAAAUAUUGUCCACGAAGAAAUCUAAAUUAGGAGCAGCACAGCAUGGCAGCACGCACCUAUUGUCUCCGAACUUGAGAGGUGGAGGCAGGAAGAUCAGGAUUUAAGGAUAGCCUCAACUACAUGACCUGGCCUCUAAUGAUAUGCAAUAUAAAUAUGCAAACUUCAUGAAAGGAGCACUCCAAACUAUCCAGGAAGCCUCACAUGGAUGAGACUAUAUUUGUGUCACUGUGCAGAGGUGGCCUGGAUCUGUGCUAUGUAAGAUCUACAAUAAAGAAAUCUGAAGAAGAAAUUAGAGUGCUGAAGAAACAUCUCAAAUUGCAGUUCAUUUUGGAAGAAGAUCUUCAACCGGUCAACUCAGAGAGUUUGAAGAUCUGCAACCAGUCAACUCAGAGUUUGAGCUCUUCUGGCAAACAAAGUGCUCUGUAGGCAGAUGAGGUAGCCACACCUCCCCCUGCUGGCUAUCUCCUGUCACUGCAGGAGGCUCAUGGAGUCCGGCUGGGCAUGCCAAUGACCUAAUAGGCCAAGCUAUAGGUGGGUCAGGAAGGCAACAUUCUCCUCUGACCAUUGUUCCAUUUGUACUUUGUAAUCCAACUCAAACACCUAAAUGAAUAUGAGUUUAAAUGUUAUGCUGGGUAUUUGGGAGAGUUGUGAACUCUCCAACAAAAUAAACAUGAGAAAACUUUUAAUGAUGAAUUCGUUCAUCAUUAUGGAUUAGCACAAAAAACUCGGAGGUCAAGAGCAGACUGGCUGCUCUUCAGAGUUCCUGAGUUCAAUUCCCAGCAACUACAUGGUGUCUCAAAGUCAUCUAGAAUGAGAUCUGGUGCCCUCUUCUGGUCUGCAGGCAGGCA